AUUGAACGCUAGCGGGAUGCCUUACACAUGCAAGUCGAACGGAGUGGCCAACGGGUGAGUAAUGUAUCGGAACGUGCCCAGUAGCGGGGGAUAACUACGCGAAAGCGAAGCUAAUACCUCCUACUAUUGGAGCGGCCGAUACCGGUUUAGCGAGUUGGUGGGGUAACGGAUCACCAAGGCGACGAACCGUAGCUGGUUUGAGAGGACGACCAGCAACACUGGGACUGAGACACGGCCCAGACUCCUACGGGAGGCAGCAGUGGGGAAUAUUGGACAAUGGGUGAAACCCUGAUCCAGCCAUCCCGCGUGUGCGAAGAAGGCCUUCGGGUUGUAAAGCACUUUUGGCAGGAAAGCGGUACCUGCAGAAUAAGCACCGGCUAACUCCGUGCCAGCAGCCGCGGUAAUAC
rnacentral:rRNA from 1 species